rnacentral:rRNA from 1 species
AGUGAACGCUGGCGGUAGGCCUAACACAUGCAAGUCGAACGGCAGCACAGUAAGAGCUUGCUCUUACGGGUGGCGAGUGGCGGACGAGUGAGGAAUACAUCGGAAUCUACUUUUUCGUGGGGGAUAACGUAGGGAAACUUACGCUAAUACCGCAUACGACCUACGGGUGAAAGCAGGGGAUCUUCGGACCUUGCGCGAUUGAAUGAGCCGAUGUCGGAUUAGCUAGUUGGCGGGGUAAAGGCCCACCAAGGCGACGAUCCGUAGCUGGUCUGAGAGGAUGAUCAGCCACACUGGAACUGAGACACGGUCCAGACUCCUACGGGAGGCAGCAGUGGGGAAUAUUGGACAAUGGGCGCAAACCUGAUCCAGCCAUACCGCGUGGGUGAAGAAGGCCUUCGGGUUGUAAAGCCCUUUUGUUGGGAAAAAAAAGCAGCAGGUUAAAACCCCCCUGUUCUGACGGUACCCAAAGAAAAAGCACCGGCUAACUUCGUG